rnacentral:misc_RNA from 1 species
UUCAUUCCAAGACUGUACACAUUAAAAUAUUUGUUGUAAUUAUCAAUUAUCAAAAUUUGGAUAUCCAGUUGAAAGCAAUGGUUUCAAUCUGCCAAAGAGUUUUUCAUAAGUGUUGCAAAUCUUUACAGACCACGUAGAAGUAAACUCUCAAGAAAAAGUAGCAAAGCUGAUGCAACUAGAACCAAAAGUUGAGAAAUCUCCUACCAAACACUUAGCUCUAUUAUACAUCAAGGACCCUUGGGAAAGAAUGGAACAGCAUCUUCAUCUUCGUCAAUGGCAGAAAUGACGUGUCAAGCUCCAUUCAUCAGCAUUGCAAAUUAAAUAAGUGAGAUCCUUCUGGAGAACGUAAGAAACCUUGACAGAGUAGGAAACAUGUUGUAGAAUCGUCUUUGCGGCAAUUAGGUGGGGUAGAUUCACAGGAAUUGCAAAUGCCCAUUUAGCUAUCCCAAAAGAAAACGGCGGAGAAAUUGCUGCUACAAGCUGAUGGUUAUGCAAUUUUGCUGAUAAAUUUGAUGAAAUCCCCAAUCACCACUUGACCUCCAUAAAAGUUGAAAGCUCAUGUGAUCGAUGAAGAAGACGAGGAGAGGGAGGAAUAAUCGGAAACCAAUGGCAUGGGCGGUGUAGGUAAGAUAAAUACUAACAAUGGAAACCCAUCAUAUUAGUCAUCUUACCCACCCACCCAUCCCACAACCUUCCGAAAACCCGAACUCCCUCUCCAUUUCCUCCAAUCCCAUUAGCAGCUUCUCACUCACCAGAUGAUGUAAAUCUAAUCUAAGCAAAACCCAAAAAAUAAAAAAUAAAAAGAAAACUUGGGGAAGCUCAGAUUCUAUGGGUGUAAAUAAGAGUCUGUCAUACCCAAAUCGGGCAUUUUCAGUACGAGGAAUUUUACUUUUAUCAUCGCAGCCCCGGAAAAAAAAUCCUUUCAACCUUUUCAAAACAAGCAAGAAAAUUGAAAACCUCAGAAAGCAGCCAAACAAAAUCAAAAUCAAGAUCACCAAAAGGGAAAAGGGCAGGCUCAGACACGCACAAACGCGGUCAUCAAUCUUAAAUCGUUGCCUUUUCUUGAUCCGUAAAAAAAAACAACUUUAGAUCAGUAUCGAGAAAUGAAACUAGUCAUCACAGCCCUCUAAUUACUGAUUAUAUUUCACCAAAAAAGAAAUCAAAAUAUUUGAUUCAAUAAUUGAUUUCCAAAUUUGAAUCUGCUAAAAUAAGGGAAACUAAAAACACGCUACUAAGAAAAAGUUGAAAGAAAGAACAAAGAGAGAGGGCUUACGGCGUGAAGAGUAGAAAAGGACACUCACAUCUGCGCAGCC